AUCACCUGGAGAUCUUGCUAAAACAAAGAUUCUAAUUCAGUAGGUCUGGAGUGGGGCCUGACAUUCUGGAUUUCUAGCAAGCUCCCAGGUGAUGCCAA
rnacentral:pre_miRNA from 1 species